rnacentral:rRNA from 1 species
GGGCCCGCACAAGCGGUGGAGCAUGUGGUUUAAUUCGAUGCAACGCGAAGAACCUUACCAGGGCUUGACAUACCACAAAUUUUUUUGAAAGAAAAAAGUGCCUUCGGGAAUGUGGAUACAGGUGGUGCAUGGCUGUCGUCAGCUCGUGUCGUGAGAUGUUGGGUUAAGUCCCGCAACGAGCGCAACCCUUAUUUUUAGUUACUAAUUUAUUAGGUUCUCUAGAAAACUGCCGGUGACAAACUGGAGGAAGGUGAGGAUGACGUCAAGUCAGCAUGCCCCUUAUGCCCUGGGCUACACACGUGCUACAAUGGCUAGGACAAAGAGUCGCGAGCUCGCGAGGGUAAGCUAAUCUCCUAAACCUAGUCUAAGUUCAGAUUGCAGGCUGCAACUCGCCUGCAUGAAGUCGGAAUCGCUAGUAAUCG